rnacentral:lncRNA from 1 species
AUAACCACAAAAUGACCACUCUGUUUCUGACGUGUAGGGAUCAGGUUCUGGUUGGUCAGUUUCUGUCUUGCCCACUAAAAUGAAAGACAAACAGACUUACCCUGGGCCUGUGAUGGGAGUAGCAGCCCUGAUGAUCUCUAAAAUGUCUGCGGGGAAUCGUUUUAUUUUAUUGAAAGAUAACUAUGUUCUCAACCUUCCUUCAUUGCAUUUGUGGCUUGCAGAAUGGCAGCUCUUACCAGAAACUGACCCUGUUGGGCCUUGAUCUGAAACUUCAAGCCUCCAGAAUGGGAAUACCUUGACACCCCCCUCAUCCUGAGAUGAAGUCUCACUCUGUUGCCCAGGCAGUUUUGCAGUGGCGUCAUCUUGGCUCACUGCAACCUCCACCUCCUGGUUCAAGUGAUUCUCCUGCCCCAGGCUCCCCAGUAGCUGGGAUCACAGACAUGACUGUGCUUAUAAGAAUGAGGAGGUUUUGCAAUUGGGGACAGGGACAUAAUGACCUCUCUGCCAUUGAUCAUCAAUAAGCCUUGACAAUCGUCCACGUAGGCAUGUGCUGGACACAGAUGCCAAGUCACGCUGCUCCACUAGCUUCUAGCCUCUGUUGUUGAUUGCUUUUCUUGGACCAUUUCCUUUAUUUAAUUGUGUCAAGUUACUUAAGUUAAAGAAGAUAUUUGCUGCUGUUGUGGGUGAAAUCAGCCCACUUGUCAAACAAAAUGUUUGUGAGAUUUUGGAGGAAGCAUCUCGGUGCUGCGGACCAAACACAACAAUGUUCACUGAUGGAGGAAAUCUUCAUUACUGAGUUACUGAUUCUGACCGAACUCAGUGGCUCAAUAAACAACUUUGCUAUCUCAGAAAAUCACCCUCUUUGCCAGCAAGAUGUUUGGAGUCAUUCCAAGAAAAAGAGAGAAAAAAAAAUUCUGGUCAAUGGAGAGACGGGACCACAUUGAAAGGUCUACAACCAAGCCUGAGAAGGUGAAGAUGACAUGCUCUACAUAUUCCACCUGUCAGUAUGACACCAGAGCAUCCUGGCCCCAUUGAAAAUUUCCAUGUUAUGAUGUCUAAUUCUUCAGGGUUUAUUGCUAAUGAUCAAGUUUUGCAUUGAAAAUGUAAGCUAGUUUCUUAAAUAGAUUAGAAAUGGGCUAAAACAGCUGUCUGAAUGUCACAUAUGGUCAGUCUUGUGGAGAUUAGGCUCAUAAUUCUAACAAUGGUUUCACUUUGAGAAUUAAUAAGCUUUGACUGUGAGGACUAAUGUUUGCUGCUUUCUCUACAGUCACAUUUUUCUUCCUUCAAUCCUCAAUGGCUGCAUUUCUCUCACUUUUUUGUUUAUUAUAAAGAACAUCUGUCAUUACACUUUAUAGUCUGGUAGUUACCAUCCUAAGUAAUAUGUAUUAGUCAGUAAAGAAUGGCUACUCCUGUAAAUUUGUAAAAGCUAAAAGCCACAGGGGAAAAAAUAGAAAUAGGCCAACAGAUCAUUCAAAAGCUGAAUUAAAGACCCACGUGCUUACAGGCACUGGUAUAUUACAAAGUUGGUAUUGUAUAUGGAGAGUUUAAAAGAUGAUAUUGGGAAAACUGGCUGAUUAUAUAGAUAAUAAGAAAUCUAGAUGCCCAUAUUGUACCUUACAAGAAGUUAAACAUUUAUUUUCAGCUUGUAUUUUAGACACGGGGGGUAUAUGUGCAGGUUUGUUACAUGGGUAUAUUGCACCUAGAUAGUGAGAAUACUACCCAAUAGUUAGUUUUUUGACUUGCGUCCCCCUCCCUCCACCCCCUUCCCCAGUAGCCUCACUGUCUAUUAUUCCCAUGCGCAUGUCCAUGUGUGCUCAAUGUUUAGUUCCUACUUGUAAGUGGGCACGUUCAGUAUUUGGUUUUGUGUUUCUUCGUUAAUUUGGUUAGGAUAAUGGCCUCCAUCUCCAUCUGUGUUGCUGUAAAAUACACGAUUUCCUUCUUUUUAUGGCCGUGUAAUAUUCCAUGGUGUAAAUGUGUCACAUUUUCUUUGUCCCACUGAUGGACACAUACAUUGAGAUAGAUUGAAAAUGAGUGAAAAGUAAUACUACAAUUCUAAUGAAAAUUUAGAAGCAUAUUUUCAC